rnacentral:tRNA from 2 species
GGGCCGCUAGCUCAAUGGUAGAGCAUCUGACUCUUAAUCAGUUGGUUCUAGGUUCGAGUCCUAGGCGGCUCACCA